GAACGCACGAAGUUGAAGAGCUUGCUCUUUAACCAGUGAGUGGCGGACGGGUGAGUAACACGUGGGUAACCUGCCCAUUAGAGGGGGAUAACAUUCGGAAACGGAUGCUAAUACCGCAUAGUUUCAGGAAUCGCAUGAUUCUUGAAGGAAAGGUGGCUUCGGCUACCACUAAUGGAUGGACCCGCGGCGUAUUAGCUAGUUGGUGAGGUAAUGGCUCACCAAGGCAAUGAUACGUAGCCGACCUGAGAGGGUGAUCGGCCACACUGGGACUGAGACACGGCCCAGACUCCUACGGGAGGCAGCAGUAGGGAAUCUUCCGCAAUGGACGAAAGUCUGACGGAGCAACGCCGCGUGAGUGAAGAAGGUUUUCGGAUCGUAAAACUCUGUUGUUAAAGAAGAACAAGGAUGAGAGUAACUGCUCAUCCCCUGACGGUAUUUAACCAGAAAGCCACGGCUAACUACGUGCCAGCAGCCGCGGUAAUACGUAGGUGGCAAGCGUUGUCCGGAUUUAUUGGGCGUAAAGCGAGCGCAGGCGGUUCUUUAAGUCUGAUGUGAAAGCCCCCGGCUCAACCGGGGAGGGUCAUUGGAAACUGGAGAACUUGAGUGCAAAAGAGGAGAGUGGAAUUC
rnacentral:rRNA from 1 species